GACGAACGCUGGCGGCGUGCCUAAUACAUGCAAGUAGAACGCUGAAGGAGGAGCUUGCUUCUCUGGAUGAGUUGCGAACGGGUGAGUAACGCGUAGGUAACCUGCCUGGUAGCGGGGGAUAACUAUUGGAAACGAUAGCUAAUACCGCAUAAGAGUAGAUGUUGCAUGACAUUUGCUUAAAAGGUGCAAUUGCAUCACUACCAGAUGGACCUGCGUUGUAUUAGCUAGUUGGUGGGGUAACGGCUCACCAAGGCGACGAUACAUAGCCGACCUGAGAGGGGGAUCGGCCACACUGGGACUGAGACACGGCCCAGACUCCUACGGGAGGCAGCAGUAGGGGAUCUUCGGCAAUGGACGGAAGUCUGACCGAGCAACGCCGCGUGAGUGAAGAAGGUUUUCGGAUCGUAAAGCUCUGUUGUAAGAGAAGAACGAGUGUGAGAGUGGAAAGUUCACACUGUGACGGUAUCUUAACAGAAAGGGACGGCUAACUACGUG
rnacentral:rRNA from 1 species